rnacentral:lncRNA from 1 species
CCAGGAGUACAUGGUUGAUUGACUUUUUCCAGAUAUUUUCUUAUGUAAUUAUAUCUACUACCACUAAUUAAAUCAAAUGAAAUGAAUCCAAAAUCUGUAGCUCUAACCUUCAUUUUCUUUUUCAACACAAGAUGCAACUGUGGUUAUUGGAUAUCUCUUAUGAAAAUUCUGUAGAUUCUUUCAGGGAAGGUUGGGGGUGGGGGGUAAUUUUGAGAUGUUUCCGGUAAAUGGAGCAGGUAAAUAUGUAAAAGUCCUAAGGCAUUAAAGAGCAAAGGCAUAUUAUAUAUAACAGAGAAAGUUUAGUAUGGUUGGAAAGGAAAGCAAAGGUGGUACAGAAAGAAGCUAAAGAUGGAAGUUUAGGUGAGCCAAGGUCAUGAAGGAUCAUGCUGAGUGUAUGGGGAAUUUAUCCU